GGUCCGGUGCUGGGGCGGGGGCCAGGACUCCAGGCCGCGCCUGACGCUCUCUUUUCUUUUCUUGCAUCUGCCCGCGAUCUUCUCCUAGACCUUUCUGCGAGUACGAGCCAACCGGCAGACCCGACUGAAUGCUCGGAUUGGGAAAAUGAAACGGAGGAAGCAAGAUGAAGGGCAGAGGGAAGGCUCCUGCAUGGCUGAGGAUGAUGCUGUGGACAUCGAGCAUGAGAACAACAACCGCUUUGAGGAGUAUGAGUGGUGUGGACAGAAGCGGAUACGGGCCACCACUCUCCUGGAAGGUGGCUUCCGAGGCUCUGGCUUCAUCAUGUGCAGCGGCAAAGAGAACCCGGACAGUGAUGCUGACUUGGAUGUGGAUGGGGAUGACACUCUGGAGUAUGGGAAGCCACAAUACACGGAGGCUGAUGUCAUCCCCUGCACAGGCGAGGAGCCUGGUGAAGCCAAGGAGAGAGAGGCACUCCGGGGCGCAGUCCUAAAUGGCGGCCCUCCCAGCACGCGCAUCACACCUGAGUUCUCUAAAUGGGCCAGUGAUGAGAUGCCAUCCACCAGCAAUGGUGAAAGCAGCAAGCAGGAGGCCAUGCAGAAGACCUGCAAGAACAGUGACAUCGAGAAAAUCACCGAAGAUUCAGCUGUGACCACGUUUGAGGCUCUGAAGGCUCGGGUCAGAGAACUUGAACGGCAGCUAUCUCGUGGGGACCGUUACAAAUGCCUCAUCUGCAUGGACUCGUACUCGAUGCCCCUAACGUCCAUCCAGUGUUGGCACGUGCACUGCGAGGAGUGCUGGCUGCGGACCCUGGGUGCCAAGAAGCUCUGCCCUCAGUGCAACACGAUCACAGCGCCCGGAGACCUGCGGAGGAUCUACUUGUGAGCUAUCUGCCCCAGGCAGGCCUUGCCUCCAGCA
rnacentral:sRNA from 1 species